rnacentral:ncRNA from 1 species
GAGAGCACAGUACGAUGAAAGUUGUAAGCUGUGUUCGGGGGGGGGGAGUUAUUGUCUAUCGUUGGACUCUAUGGUAGAACCCGUCGGGGAGGCCUGAGAGGCGGUGGUUUACCCUGU